GCAAAGUCACCUCGUUCCCAUCUUCUACAGCAACAACGUUGUAACGAAAGGGAAUUGCCUUUUCAGAAGAAUAUGGUACUGGACCGACAGGCUUAAUGAUCAGGGCAGGAGAGACUUUCUGCUUGCUACCAUCAUACUUGAUAAUAACAGGCUCGGGUAUCCGGAAUCCCGGGGAAAUUACGUUGACCUCUGGCUCAUCUUCG
rnacentral:lncRNA from 1 species